GAUGAACGCUGGCGGCGUGCCUAAUACAUGCAAGUCGAGCGAACGGACGAGAAGCUUGCUUCUCUGAUGUUAGCGGCGGACGGGUGAGUAACACGUGGAUAACCUACCUAUAAGACUGGGAUAACUUCGGGAAACCGGAGCUAAUACCGGAUGAUAUUUUGAACCGCAUGGUUCAAAAGUGAAAGACGGUCUUGCUGUCACUUAUAGAUGGAUCCGCGCUGCAUUAGCUAGUUGGUAAGGUAACGGCUUACCAAGGCAACGAUGCAUAGCCGACCUGAGAGGGUGAUCGGCCACACUGGAACUGAGACACGGUCCAGACUCCUACGGGAGGCAGAAGUAGGGAAUCUUCCGCAAUGGGCGAAAUCCUGACGGAGCAACGCCGCGUGAGUGAUGAAGGUCUUCGGAUCGUAAAACUCUGUUAUUAGGGAAGAACGUAUGUGUAAGUAACUGUGCACAUCUUGACGGUACCUAAUCAGAAAGCCACGGGUAACUACGUG
rnacentral:rRNA from 1 species